AGCGAACGCUGGCGGCAGGCCUAACACAUGCAAGUCGAACGGAUCCUUCGGGAUUAGUGGCGGACGGGUGAGGAACACGUGGGAACGGGCCCGUUGGUUCGGAACAACUCAGGGAAACUUGAGCUAAUACCGGAUGUGCCCUGCGGGGGAAAGAUUUAUCGCCAUUGGAGCGGCCCGCGUCUGUUUAGCUAGUUGGUGAGGUAACGGCCCAUCAAGGCGACGCUCAGUAGCUGGGUUGAGAGGAUGAUCAGCCACACUGGGACUGAGACACGGCCGAGACUCCUACGGGAGGCAGCAGUGGGGGAUCUUGCGCAAUGGGCGAAAGCAUGACGCAGCCAUGCCGGGUGAAUGAUGAAGGUCUUAGGAUUGUAAAAUUCUUUCAGCGGGGACGAUAAUGACGGUACCCGCAGAAGAAGCGCCGGCUAACUUCGUG
rnacentral:rRNA from 1 species